AGCUUUGAAGGUGAUAUGGACAGUC
rnacentral:piRNA from 1 species